AGGCACCAAUGAACCUUUCCACAGAAGAGAAACUCAUGGACUUGGAGAACAGAGUGUUAUUAUUCUUAUACUUUCCUCUGGAUCUACGGAGCCACCAACAGUGGCUUCAUCCAGAGCGGCUCUGCUUUUAUCAGUCCUACAUCUUGGGAUUCCCCAAAAAGACACCUUCUGAGAAAAGUUUCCACUGCUUUUGUUUCAUUUUGUUUGGGUUUGGACACCAUGGAACGAGUACAACCCCACCACUUUAAAGGUGAGGGCUCAGAGCCCAGCCAGGUGAGCCACCCACACCCCCGGGGCAGGGGAGGUCUGAGCCAGAGGCCCCAGCCUGGCAUCCUCCGUUCUCAGCCUCAUGGAGCCCCUGAGCACUCGGAGAUGUUUACUCAUGGUGAUGGACCCAGCUCAGGGGAAAUACUGGCUUCAUUUGGGUUUACUGAGAGUAUUUUGAUCCCGUUUUGUUCUAGUUCAGUAGCUUUAGGAAAUGUGUAGGUUUUGUUCUGUUUAAAAUGACUCUGUGAGGUUCCUUGUUUGUGUUUUCUCCUCUUUAUGAAGGAAGUCCUGGCUUGGCCCAGGUGUGCACAAAAUGACACUAUUUGGGUUCCGUUUGGGGACUGGGAAAUUAAAGCAAUACUCUUGAGGAGGGCCCCGAACACGAGGAAGGCACAUCACAAAGCAUCUGGACUUUCUGGAAAUGGGCAAGACCAGCCAUGAGACAGCCUGACCAUCUUGCCCACAGCUGGACUCCUGCUUUCCUGUUAGACAAGGGAAAUGCGCACAGGACCAAGUUGAGAAUCACCUCUUUCCAGAGAGGUGUGGAACAAUAGGAAGAACAGCAGCUGUACUGGGUUCCAAUCCCAUCCAACCCCUAGCCUGAGUGACUCACUCAAAGUUUGAGCCGCAUUUCUUCAAAUCACCAUUGAAAUGAUUCAAUGAAGAAAACAUGUAACAAUCUUAGCACAUCCACGCUAGUUCCCUUCCCUCUUUCCUUCAUGGCAAAUCUCCCCUCACCCCCAACCCAUGUACACACUGCCCUCCCAGCACUCAAUUUCUGUCAUUCUGAUUCUAUAGAAUUCCAAGUGGGAAAAUCACCCAGUGACCUUGAGUUUCUAGUCAACCAAAUUGUCAUAUUACCUCCUCAAGAUACACAUGGUCCUUAGUCAAGUCCUUGACCAAAAUGAGGCAGAUUACCUUGCAAGGCAACCUGGGAAGUCAGACAUCCUUCCUCUGCCAGCCUCCCCAAGGAGAAGCCUCCCCACAGAACUGGAAGUCUGCCAGCCCCUCCCCUCCCCAUCCCCUUCCUCCCAGGAAAAGCCUGCAGAGGCCAUUUGCAUUGGCUUGGAGCUGGUUAGUCAAAUCAGCAGAUAAAUGCAAACUCUCCAAGGAAUCGGAAAUCUGCUUUGGGCAAUUCAGUUUGGAGCUCUUCCUUUUUCUUUCUCUAGUAGCCCCCAAUCCAGUUCCCUGCCUGAGGAAAACCCUGGAGAACAUGGAAAACUCCAGUGAUGGCUUUCCCUAAAUCCAUCCCCUUCCCCCCCCCGCCAAUAGAAAGGAAAAUGUGGGUUUUGGUUAGCCUACUUGGGUGUAAUCUGGGUUGUAGACACUCAAAUAAAUCUCCCUUGUUGGUUGGUGCUUCAUUCUCUCCCUCUGCUCCCAGCACUCAUGAUCACAGUCACCUUUAAAUAUUGCCCCAGGGCUGUUGACAACAUGCAUGGCACCUGCUUACAUGCAAGGGAAAGCCACCCUUUAGGACUACUGAGUCCUUUCCCAUGAAGGGUGUGGAUUCAGACUCAUCCAACAUGAGUAUAGGAAGAAGUGCAAUUUCAGGGACUCUAGCUCCUUAAUCUGCCACUGAGAUAUUCACCAUAAAGAAUGCCUAGUUCCAGGGAAACAACUUAGAUGUCCAUCGACAGAUGAAUGGAUGAAGAAGAUGGGAUAUGUAUAUACAGUGGAAUAUUACUCAGCCAUAAAAGAGAAUGAAAUAAUGCCAUUUGCAGCAACAUGGAUGGAUCUAGAGAUUAUCAUACUAAGUGAAGUAAGUCAGACAAAGACAAAUACUACAUGAUGUCACUUAUAUGUGGAAUCUAAAAUAUGACGCAAACUUAUCUAUGAAACAGACUCAGACAUAGAGAAUGGACUUGUGGUUGCCAAGAGGGGAGAGAUGAUUGGGAGUUUAGGACUUGCAGAUGCAAACUAUUAUAUAUAAAAGGUAUAAACAAGAAAUCCCUAUUGUAUAGCACAGGGAACUAUAUUUUUCAGCAUCCUAUAAUAAAUCAUAAUGGAAAAGAAAAAGAAAUAAAGGAAAAAAAAGAAUACCCAGUUCAGUUCUAUGCUUACCUACAAAGGCAUCUUCCAUUUCAGACACAUAAGGUGGCUUAAUCAGCAGUCAAACAGGAUUACACCAAUGUGAAAUAAUUAUACAGUAUCAUGAUGUAGUGGCUCCUUUAGCUUCCCACCCUUUAUAAUUGUGGGUGCCAAUCUUUGGAUGGGCUCGUACUUGCCAAACACAUCCUCUACCAAGUACUCUACAGAGGAACCCUGUUGCGAGGAGACCACUCGGCCACAGCGCAGUUCUAACAGGUCCAGCCCAAUGGCCUCAGGCCAGUCAACUUCAUAUUAUUUUGAAACAUCUGCUCUUUGUUUUUUGAACAUUUUUGAAGGAGCUCCAGGUGUCCCAGAUGGUGGUGUGCAGCUUCUGAGAUGGAUCAGUAAGCUUCUCCAAAAAAGUUAACAUCAGGAUGGUCUGGUGAAAAGAGCACAGGCUUUGGAAUCAGAAAGAGCUGAGUGUAGAACCUGGCUCUACCCUGGUAGCAAUGGGACCUUGUAAAAAUUACUCAUUUUCUUUGAGUAGCCAUUUCCCUUUCUACAGUUCUGAGGGUUUCUUUUAAAAGUCAUAUUGUAUGUAAAGUCACAUUGCAGAUGUUCAAUAAAUGAUACAUAUUAUUGUUAAACUGGGUGGGUCCUUUCUCCACAAAGUGGGUAGAUAGGUGGAUAUGGAAUCUUCUAUCCAAAAAUCUUAUCUUCCGCUCCUCAAAUCUUACCUAAAUUCUCUUUAUUUUUUAUUGUUUUUUCCAUUCAUGAAUCAAGAAAAAAAUCAUAAGAAGCAAUUUCAUUAUAGAGCCUGUUCUAGGUCUAUCUUUUUUCCAAAUAAAUUGACCUCUUUCCCAACUAGUAAUAAAUACAGUGAAGCUGUGAAUCAUUUCUGAAUCCCACGUAAAAAUCUUUAUACCUACAUAGUACUUACAAGGAGUGCUUGCACACACACUAUCUAUAAAUCCUUAACCCCAUGAAAAAUAUUUUCUUCUCAUUUUAAAGAAAGGGAAACUGAGACUCAAGACGGCGAGUUACUUGGUAAAGUUCCCAUCAAUAGAAGCAGGAGAGCUUGGUUUCAAACCAAGACCUUCCCAUUCCUUUUUUCAUGAUCUAUCACAUUAUCCAGGAAGGGAAAAUCUAAAAAUCACUGCCAGCCUUUGAAACAAAUGUCUCUUGAUUUGGCUACUAGGAAAUAGGGCUGUUAAGUAGUGAACACAGGACAAGUAAGUUCUAGCUGCAGGGAAGAGUUGGAUGUGGUCAUGAUCUAGAAUUUGGAGUCCUGAGAGCUGGGUGAAGGUGACUUGGGUGUCCACUAAGGCAGCAAGGAAUAGGAGGAGAGCCUGGGGAUGUGGGAUACCAAAGAAAGGAAAUAUAUCCAAAAAAGACAGGGAAAAAUACUAGAGGCAAACUUCCUCUAAGCCAUCAUUUCACCUUGGGUCAGCCCCACUUCUUGUUUCCCGCGCUGACUCCACAAACUUUUCCAACUUUUUCCACGGCCUUUUCUCUGAAAGUAGAGGGUGGGGUGAAUGGAUUAAGGAUGAAAACUGAUGAACUCAGCAGGCAGAGGUGAGGUCAAGGCCAGGAGCAGAGCUGUGUGGAUCACAAGGAAGCUGAAGUGGGUAAAAGCCCAAAUCAAGAAUAUAAGCACGGAGUGUCUUUGAAGAGCAAGGAACAGGCAGCUGGAUAUGGGGUGAGAAUCAGGAGCUAGACGUAGCUUCUAAAAGUGAGGAUGAUCAAAACCAGAAGUGUCAGAGGAUAAUGAGAGAGGAGGGUAGUGCAUGUGUGUUUGUAUGUCCUUGAAUGUGAUGGUGUACAAGUGAUAAAACCUGCUGUAGCAGUUCCAACAGCCCCCCCCCCCCACUGGGCAGUGUUUAUAUGUCACUAAAAGUGCAGUUCAAGUCAUAGGAACAUAGACUAUUAGAACUGGAAGUAAUUUUACAUCAUUUCAUGUAAAUUGCAGCUCAAAGGAAUUGGUGAAUGACCUGGAGUCAGGAAGCUACACAGUGGCAUAACUAGCACGCUUCUGUAUGGUUCACCGGCUUUGGCACAAAGAGUCUGGAAAACACCUCAAUGAGGAAUCAAAGGCGAAGAAUAAAAGCCAAAAACAGUCCUCAAAAGCUACCAACCAACAGCAUAAACAUGAAGGCAGAAAGAAGAGAGGAAAAAUUUCUGGAAAGCACACAUUCAGAUGGGAAAAGUUCAUCCUUGAGAAGAUAAUUCAGUCUUAGGGAAAACAGAUACUGAAAGCAGAAAAGCCAUAAGAUCACAUUUCAGAAGGAAAUGAAGAAAAACACAAAACUUUUUGUUUUAUGGACAGCUUGAUGCCAAGGUGUUAUAAUAAAGUACAUGCCAUAAACAUUUGAUUUUGUGUGAAGAAAUACAAGGAACUGGUUUGUGUGGGAGGAAAGAGGCUUGGAUGCUCACUGCAAUUUAAAUGUAAAAAGAGGAUGAAUAAACCUAGUUUAUUAGGUGAAAGCUUGCAAUUCAGUGUUCCAAUAAAGUGGCUUCCUGUAGGCUUCUCAGCAAUUUAUAAAUACACCUGAACAGUUCCAGAAACAAGGACUCCACUGAGGCUAUAAACUAGGCCUUGGUUUUCACUUUUGUCCAAGGAACUAUUAAGUAGACUAGUACCUAAGAUUGUGAAACUUUGAAUGAAUUGAAGUUAGAGCAAACGUUAUAGCAUCACAGUGUGGGGUUUGUAACAUACAGAAAUGUUAUCCAUAUGGCAACUAAGGCAUGACUGAUAGCAGGGAAGGUGAUAAAAAUGGACCUGUAUGGUUAUCAGGUUCUUACAUUUUACACGAAGCAAUAGAGUAGUAACUCUAGGAUUCUAAAAAGUUAUGAAUGAGCAUUGUAAUGGUUAAGCAAUCACUUAAAAUGCAAAUAAGCUAAUAGAUGAAUCGAAAUGGAAUUGUUUAAAAAUAUUUAUUUAACCACC
rnacentral:lncRNA from 1 species